rnacentral:rRNA from 1 species
UUAUAAGAGACAGCAGUCGCCACGGUAAUACAGAGGGUGCGAGCGUUAAUCGGAUUUACUGGGCGUAAAGCGUGCGUAGGCGGCUUCUUAAGUCGGAUGUGAAAUCCCUGAGCUUAACUUAGGAAUUGCAUUCGAUACUGGGAAGCUAGAGUAUGGGAGAGGAUGGUAGAAUUCCAGGUGUAGCGGUGAAAUGCGUAGAGAUCUGGAGGAAUACCGAUGGCGAAGGCAGCCAUCUGGCCUAAUACUGACGCUGAGGUACGAAAGCAUGGGGAGCAAACAGGAUUAGAUACCCCAGUAGUCCCUGUCUCUUAUAC